rnacentral:rRNA from 1 species
UACGGAGGGUGCAAGCGUUGUCCGGAAUUAUUGGGCGUAAAGAGCUCGUAGGCGGUCUGUCGCGUCGGCUGUGAAAACUCGGGGCUCAACUCCGAGCUUGCAGUCGAUACGGGCAGGCUAGAGUUCGGCAGGGGAGACUGGAAUUCCUGGUGUAGCGGUGAAAUGCGCAGAUAUCAGGAGGAACACCGGUGGCGAAGGCGGGUCUCUGGGCCGAUACUGACGCUGAGGAGCGAAAGCGUGGGGAGCGAACAGG